GGCACCUGGGGGCCACCAAGAGGUUUUACUGGUCUGGCUGGUUGUUAUUGCUGCUGUUGUUGUUGCUUCGAGUAAGCGGAAGAGAUGAUAGCAGUGUGGAGGACGACUGUGACGGGGUAGAAAGGUGGGUAGUGGAGGCCGGGAGAGCAGCCGAAAGUCUCUCCCUGCACUUAGGCACAAAACCCCGGUUCUGAAUGAAGCAACUGCAGGAGAAGAGGUACCAUGCUAGAGUAUGCAUAUCUAUUUGUGCAUCCAGUCCCCAACCCUGGGAAGUCCGUACCAUCAUCAUACCCACUUGACAGAUGAAAACACAGAGGCUUGGGGAAUAAAGACACUUGCCAUACAGCAAUCGAGAGAGGUGCAAGCCUGGAGUCUGCGUGCUGGAAGAUUCCACCACACAUAACUGCUUCCCAAGGCACUCACACAUGGU
rnacentral:lncRNA from 10 species